rnacentral:snRNA from 1 species
GUGUUGCGUAAAAAGAGAGACCGCUAGCACUUUCCUCGAUAAGGAUGAU